rnacentral:rRNA from 1 species
GAGUUUGAUCUUGGCUCAGAUUGAACGCUGGCGGCAGGCCCUAAACACAUGCCAAGUCGAGCGGAUGACGGGAGCUUGCUCCUUGAUUCAGCGGCGGACGGGUGAGUAAUGCCUAGGAAUCUGCCUGGUAGUGGGGGACAACGUUUCGAAAGGAACGCUAAUACCGCAUACGUCCUACGGGAGAAAGCAGGGGACCUUCGGGCCUUGCGCUAUCAGAUGAGCCUAGGUCGGAUUAGCUAGUUGGUGGGGUAAU